CGGGGGUCAACGUGCCUGAUCAGGGCCGUCGUAGACUGUUGACUAGUCCCCGUGUCCCGUAGGGACGGUCUGACGGUAACGCCGCGUGGCGGUCGUUGUCAGAGAGGCGUAGCCUCGGGAUACGCGUUUUGGCGGAUAUCCCCCCGCUAAAUGUAGCAGGAAGCAGUGUCCGGCUGACGUGCCUGGCGGUAUUUUGUUUGAACGAUACUGCGUCUAAACAAAGCACGCAGUUUGCAAGAUGAAAGUGGGUUCCGCCAGAGGUGUACAGCGGAAGAUACCCAACUUGCAGGACGGUAUAGCGAGAAGUUCCGCUGGCGGGGUUUCGCUCAGCGGAGACUUCG
rnacentral:lncRNA from 1 species